GCAAGGGACCCGAAAAAGAAAAAUAUGAAAAACAAAUAAAGAGUUGAGGUUGGAACGUAGCUGCAUCAUCCAUUGUUACUUGGUUACACCAAUUUGUAUGUGAGAUCUGAUCUCGGUCUUCAGCUUCAGUGUUUUUUUGUUUUGUUUUGGAGAAUGGAGUACUGACUUUACAACCAAUGGUGGGCACAAUUUGUUGGAAGUUUGCGUCAUUGACAUGCCACAACUGCUGAAAUGGUAGUCAUUUGCAGAAUAUUUUUAAGAUCUUACAUACUUGGUAUCACUGAAUUAGAGAUGUUUAAAAUUUUUCGUAAAUUAAAAUAAUUUAGAGACAUUAACUUCUCCGUCACUACCCCAAAAGGCCAAUGUUUGUAGUUGUUGGAUAUUUAGGUUGGUUAUAUGAAUGGAUUGGUAUGAAUUUCACUUGAA